GCAUGCCUACAACAUAGUGUUAAUGCACUGGAUCCUAUUAGAACUCCAUAGUUAAGCGCGCUUAGGCUAGAGUAGUAUUGGGAUGGGUGAUUACCUGGAAAGUCCUAGUGUUUUACAUACC
rnacentral:rRNA from 1 species